CGGUAAGGUGGCUGAGUUAGGCAAUAAAUUGUAAAUUUAUCAACGAAAUUAAUUUUCCCUUAUC
rnacentral:tRNA from 1 species